rnacentral:lncRNA from 12 species
AUGAGUUGCACCCCCGCCCCGCUGUGGGGACUCUGGGCUGGCCCUUCGGGUCUGCAGUGGGACGUGGGCAGCCCAGCAGCCCCAACCUACCCUGGGGGAGGCCUUCCCUCCUGGGGCCCCCUGGGCUGCAGUCACUUGUUCUGGAAUCGCCCUCGCAGCGGCCUUCCUGGCCCAGCCGGCUGCGCAGGAGCAGCAGGUGUCUGCAGCAGAGGCUCCCCCGAGCCGCCCAGGGCUUUGCCGCAGACGACGGGCCGCGGAAUCCCAAGGAGCGGGGUCUGCAGGGUCGCCCCCGGCUCCCCGCCCUACUGCCCUGCACCCCCCCCGCCCCCCCGGCUGGAGCCACUUGACCCGUGCCUCCUCUUGGGCCAGCCCUGCCCCUCGUGCCCCCUGGGACCUCUUGGCCCGAGCCUCCGGCUUGUCAGCACUGUGCGGGGAACCCAGCCGCAGCCCCGGCUCUGUGCUGCUCUGCCCUGCCCCGGCCCCGCCUCGUGCCCUGACGGUCCUGCAGGCGGUCUGGCCACCCCCUUGCUCUCACGCACUCCUGCUUCCCCGGGCGCUGACCGCCUUCCUCUGCCUGUUACCUUCCAGAGCACCCGGGCCCUGCCUCUGAGCCUGCAAACCUGGGCAGAGCUCUGGGUGCCCCGACCUGGAAGGGGGCUUGGGGGACACGGGGCGAAGGAUGUGCCACCCGGGCCCAGGGACCUGGGAGGGCUCGCCCGGCGGGUCGGACGCUGCAGGAGAUACUCACGAGCGGUUCCUGGAGUGCGUGUGUCCUGGAGGAGGGGCUGCAGGGGCGGUGCGCUCCAGUGGGCAGAGCAGAGCCAGGCUGUCCUGGGCGCCUCCCCGCUGGGCCGGUGCCAGCCUCCUCCCCUGCCCGGCACCGCCGCCCGGUGGGUGGCUGUUACAGCUCCGUCCAGAAGAUGGGGGAGCAGGUUCAGAGAGGCUCGGAGGCCCCCCCCCGGGGUCACCGGCCGUCCCCCCGCGCUGUCAGGCCUCCACCCGGGCUCUGGCACCUUCUCCGGCUCCAGAGUGGAGGCAGGGAGGCAGAGUCUGAGGAGGAGGGGGAGGGAGGCUGGCGCCCGCCAGAAGCACCCAACAGCUGCUGACUGUGACUUUCCGGGGAGGGGGUGUGGGUGGGGGGUGGCUUUCUGA